GGCCCAGUGACCUGGAUGACUGGAGAAUACCGGCUCCUCUUCUCUGGUCAUGUAGGAAGCCGAGGACCAAGUGCUUGGCUGGACUGCGUUCAUAGAGUCAUACUUGGAGGCGUCAACCCCCUCUGAAUAAAGCUGUGCAGUUUCAGCAGCAGGGUAUUGAUAAACAGCCUCAUCGACAUGGUUAGGGGAAUAGCUUUGUGAACCUUCUUGUACACCAGCUUGGAAGUUGAGGUUCAGUGAAGAGCUAGAGUAACCCCCUUUAGUGUCAGUACUAGGUACUGCUUCAGCCUCCAGAGGCUGUUCGCUAAUGGUCUGCGCAGCCUGGGCCCAGUCACCUGAAUUACUGACGUAAACCGGCUCCUCUUCUCUAGUCAUGUAGGGAGCAGAAGACAAAGUGCUUGGCUGGACCACAUUCACAGAGUUGUAGUCGGAGAGGUCACUCUCUUCUGAAGGAAGCUGUGCAGUUUCAGCAGCAGGGUAAUGAAAAACAUCCUCAUAGACCAGGUUAGGGGAAUAGCUUUGUGAACCCUCUUGUACACCAGCUGGGAGGUCAAGGUGCAGUGAAGAGCUAGAGUAACCCCCUUUAGUGUCAAUACUAGGUACUGCUUCAGCCUCCAGGAUCUGUGCGCCAAUGUUCAGAGCGGCCUGGGUCCAGUUACCUGCAUUACUGGAGAAUACCGGCUCUUCUCUGGUAAUGUAACGAUCAGAGGACCAACUGCUUGGCUGUUCCACAUUCACAGAGUCAUAGGUGUAGGGGUCAUCAUCUGAUGAAGGAAGCUGUGCAGUUUCAGCAGCUGGGUAUUGAGAAAAGUCCUCAUAGACAAGGUUAGUGCAAUAGCUUUGUGAACCUUCUUGUACACCAGCUGGGAGGUCAAGGUGCAGUGAAGAGCUAGAGUAACCCCCUUUAGUGUCAAUUCUAGGUACUGCUUCAGCCUCCAGGAUCUGUGCGCUAAUGUUCGGAGCAGCGUGGGCCCAGUUACUUAAUACCGGCUCCUCUCUAGUCAUGUAAGGAGCAGAAGACCAAGUGCUUGGCUGGACCACAUUCACCGAGUUGUAGUCAGAGAGGUCACUCUCUUCUGAAGGAAGCUGUGCAGUUUCAGCAGCAGGGUAAUGAAAAGCAUCCUCAUAGACCAGGUUAGGGGAAUAGCUUGGUGAAACAGCCUGGACAUCGAGGUACAGCGCAGAGCUGGAGUAACCCCCUUUAGUGUCAGUUCUAGAUACUACGUCAGCCUGCAGAGUCUGUGCGCUAAUGGUCGGCGCCAUGUUACCUGAAUUAAUGGAGAAUACUGGCUCCCCUCCUCCGGUCAUGUAGGAAGCAGAGGACCGACUUCUUGGCUGGUCCGCAUAGAAGUGUGAGCCCUCUUGUUCACCAGCCUGGAAGUUGAGGUUCUGGGUAGGAUUAAAGUACCCGCCACUUUUAGACACUUGUUUAGACUCCAAAGUAGGACCACUACUGAAUGCACCAUCGUCCAUCAACAGAUAUGGAGUAGGAGGGAUAAGGUCAGAGCCUGCCAGUUCUGAAGAUGGUUUGGUAGAAGGCUUAGGGAACUGAGGCUUUGCGCUGCCCCUCUGCUCCUCAAAAGAGUAAUCAUGCUGGUUGGCAGGGUUUAGAGGAAGUUUCUGGUCUUCAAUCUCAGCAUUUUUCUGUCCAAACUCCACAGCUCUGCCUCCCUGGAUCCUCGCCCCUUCCUCGGGGUUCAACAGUGCCUGCUUUGGAGCUGCAGCUAGUGGGACUUUUUUGCUUCGGUCUGAAUAUCCUUUUGCUAGGCUAUAUGCCUCAAACCUCAGAGUAUGAGAAGUUUGUAGCUCGUCAUCUUUAUCACCCCCAAUUUCAGGAUGGUCAGUCUUGGAGGUAUAGCUG
ensembl:lncRNA